AUAAACUGCAUAAUGCUAACCUCCAAAGUCAUAGCAAAUUCAUCAAGAAAAACAAAAAGUCAUCUUUCCAAUACUAAUAAACCAGAAAUACAUCAGCCAAAUGGUUUAUUGCGAAUUUAAUACAAAGGAUACUGGCUUUAAUGUGGUAAUUUACAAAAAAAAAAAAAUAUCACAGCAGUUUGCUAUGCAUGCCCGCUUUCUUCAACCCAAAUUCCCUAGCUUUACUAAGUUGCUCAGCAUCCACUCUCAAUCUUUGAAAAGCGAUACUCAAUAUCCCUUACUGUGUUUGCCACCUCAGUGAGUCCAAUUUUGUCUUUUGCUUCUCAAUCCCCCUAGAAAUCUCAGCCAUCUCGUCAUAACGCCGGAAGCGUGAGGGAGAGAGAAGUUGGUGAGGCAAGCCGGAAGCGUGAGGGAG
rnacentral:lncRNA from 1 species